UCCGGUAUGGUGUAACGGCUAACAUUGCCGCCUUUCAUUGCAGUGAAUUGUGUGUGGUACGCGGCAGCUCGGGGUUCGAUUCCCCGUACCGGAA